UACAGAGGUCCCGAGCGUUGUUCGGAUUCACUGGGCGUAAAGGGUGCGCAGGUGGCUUGGCAAGUUUGAUGUGAAAGCUCAGGGCUUAACCCUGAAAUCGCAUUGAAUACUGUUGAGCUGGAGGUUUGGAGGGGGGACUGGAAUUCUUGGUGUAGCAGUGAAAUGCGUAGAUAUCAAGAGGAACACCGGUGGCGAAGGCGAGUCCCUGGACAACACCUGACACUGAGGCACGAAAGCUAGGGGAGCAAACAGG
rnacentral:rRNA from 1 species